UACGGAGGGUGCAAGCGUUAUCCGGAUUCACUGGGUUUAAAGGGUGCGUAGGAGGGCAGGGAAGUCAGUGGUGAAAUCUCCGGGCUUAACUCGGAAACUGCCGUUGAUACUCUCUGUCUUGAAUCCCGUGGAGGUGAGCGGAAUAUGUCAUGUAGCGGUGAAAUGCUUAGAUAUGACAUAGAACACCAAUUGCGAAGGCAGCUCGCUACACGAAGAUUGACUCUGAGGCACGAAAGCGUGGGGAUCAAACAGGA
rnacentral:rRNA from 1 species